AUACGGAGGGUGCGAGCGUUAAUCGGAAUUACUGGGCGUAAAGGGUGCGUAGGCGGCUUGAUAAGUCGGAUGUGAAAGCCCCGGGCUUAACCUGGGAAUUGCAUUCGAUACUGUCAGGCUAGAGUAUGUCAGAGGUUGGCGGAAUUCCUGGUGUAGCGGUGAAAUGCGUAGAUAUCAGGAGGAACACCAGUGGCGAAGGCGGCUAACUGGGGCAAUACUGACGCUGAGGCACGAAAGCGUGGGGAGCAAACAGGAUUAGAAACCCGAGUAGUCC
rnacentral:rRNA from 1 species